UUCAUUGUGCCUACUUAUUUGU
rnacentral:siRNA from 1 species